rnacentral:rRNA from 1 species
GGGCACACGAGUUACGUUAAGUAGCAAGGUUAAGCAGUUAAGGGGUGGAGCCGUAGCGAAAGCGAGUUUUAACUGAGCGUUCAGUUACUUGCCGUAGACCCAAAACCGGGCGACCUACCCAUGAGCAGGAUGAAGCGAAAGUAAAAUUUCGUGGAGGUCCGAACCCACGAGCGUUGAAAAGCUCGGGGAUGACUUGUGGGUAGCGGUGAAAUUCCAAUCGAGCCCGG